rnacentral:lncRNA from 1 species
AUCGUGAAGACCACAGUUUCCUGUCGCGUGGAUGUGUUUCCUCUCUGGCCAUUGCCAUCCGCCCAAAUCUACAGACAUCCCGCAUGUUCCCGGGCUCGUCUCCCCAAUACAGGGCACCAAGCAUCCUACCAAGGCGAAUCCAUUGACCAGGAUUUAAGUUGAGACUCCCCCAGGACCCCGGGUGCAGCAUCUGGGUCCCCCUGCCCCGCCCUGCCUUGCGCCGCAGCCGCUUCCGUUGUCCUGCCAGGCUGUAGACUGCGCAGCCCUCCUGGAGACAGAUGGAAGCUCCUUGGGUCGACAGAUUACAGCUUCUGGAACCCCCUACUCCCUUCAACUCCGAGAUGGACACCCACUGUCCAGGGAGAGGAUGCCUGGAAAUAACAGCUGGGAUCUACAGUGGCCAAAGAGUUGUCUCCGUCUUGCUACAUCGACAAACUGGUGCUCCUGAGUGAGGAUUGUGCCCUGGGAUGGGGGAUUCAGUUUCUUCAUUUAUAGUUGGAAGUGGGUGAAGUGCCAGGAGCGACGGUACACUCCAGAGUGCUGUGCCCUGAUGGGCCUUUGAGUGGCCAGUGCAGUGGAUCAUCAGCCCUGUCUCCCAAGAGCUCCAGUCCCUUCUCCGGAGAGGAAGUGGGUCCACUGGCAGCUCAGGAGGCCAUAGCAGAUUGUGGGGCUCUGUGCAGUUGAUGUUAGUUAACCACUGGAUCCACGUGUUCACCGUGGCUUGCGCCCCUGCAUCCGAAAGUGAUCUUGGCUGCCGUGUCCUGGUCAUUGGUAGUGCAGGGAAAGGAUGCGGAAAGACGGGCUCCGAGCUCGGGGCGUCUGGCCUGGAGCUUUCCUACACUUGUGUCUUGCUCUGCAGCCUUACGGAAGUGUGGGUGGCGCUUUCUGGAAGCUGCACAAGAUUGUCACGUGUGCUCAACAGUCCUCCUCGGCUUUCCAGAAGAGGCUGGAACAGGGCCCUUGAAGAUGUUUGUGGACAUCAGAGGGCCAAAGACGACACAAAGUGAAACUGGAGACACCGCCCCCCCUUGGCAUCAUGAAACUGCCGAUGUUACUGGCUCAUGCAUGGGAGACACCAGCAUACAAAGUCUUGACACCAACACCUCAGAGGGCUGUGUUCUGUCCCCGUGACCAUCAUCUAGUGCCUGGAAAGACUAGUGACAAGAACUUGUUGCCAACUUCCUAUUACCUCCCUAACAGUUGUGCAAUAAACCCCAUAGGUUAAUUCAGUCUGCCUUUUAAA